AACGAACGCUGGCGGCGUGGAUAAGACAUGCAAGUCGAACGGGACAGACCGAGUUGCAAUAUUUGGAAUGUUCAGUGGCGAACGGGUGCGUAGCAAGUGGACAAGAUUCCGGAAAGCGGGGAAUAGCAAAGGGAAACUUGGAUGAAUACCGCACGUGGCCGAAAGGAUAAAGACGAGGAGCGCAAGGCCAUUCAAUUUGCGAAUGGUGCGCGGCCUAUCAGCUAGUUGGCGGGGUAAUGGCCCACAAAGGCUACGACGGGUAGAGGUGCUUAGAGGACGAGCAGCCACACUGGAACUGAGACACGGUCCAGACACCUACGGGUGGCAGCAGUCGAGAAUCUUUCACAAUGGGGGCAACCCUGAUGGAGCGACGCCGCGUGGAGGAUAAGGUCUUCGUAUUGUAAACUCCUGUCAUGCGAGAACAAGGUACUCAGGCUAAUAACCUGAUUGUUUGAUGGUACCGCAAGAGGAAGAGACGGCUAACUCUGUGCCAGCAGCCGCCGCCGUAA
rnacentral:rRNA from 1 species